UUUGUGUUUGAUGGGCGGUGUGUACAAAGGGCAGGGACUUAAUCAACGCGAGCUUAUGACCCGCGCUUACUGGGAAUUCCUCGUUCAUGGGAAAUAAUUGCAAUCCCCAUCACGAGUGGG